UUGACGGCGGCCGAAGCUUCUUGGGUCAUGGCGCAGCACCAGGGUGCUCCCCGGAUUUCACAGCGCCCACGGUUCGCAAGUUCGACAGCGGCGGUGGAGGUGAGCUCGGUGGUUGGCUUCGCGAGAAGGACGGACGACGCGCAGGGAGUAAAGCACCUCGAAGAAAAAGUUGAAGUAGAAGUGGAAGCGGAGCCUUUUCUUCCAUCGGAACCUUCUCCAACUGAGGUUGUCACUGAAGGUCCUCCAGAAGUUGCAGCAGCCAACCCGCUCGCCUCGCAGCUGCAGAGUCCAGCGACGCACGCUGUCCGCAGCUCGCAGCAUCCGGCCAACCCACUCGCUUUGCAGCCUGCGGCGUUUGGCAAACCCGCUGCUCGCAGCGUCCGACGACGCUGACGGAGCGGAUCUCCCUCCCAAUCCACCGUCAAUGGCCACCGACCUCCGGAGAACGCGGACGACGAUGGAGUGGAGGACGAACGUGCCGCCGUGCCCUCUCCAGAGCGGUGCGAGGUGCUGGUUUCUGCGAUCGCGGGGGUGCUGGCCAGCACGCUGAGGGAGCACGACGAGCGGGUGGCCAUCAUCGUUCGGCUCCACGAUGGGGACGUCGCUGCAACCGACCGUCUUAAUGGAGGUGGCCAGAGUUCCAAUCCGGUAAAAAAAUUGGACGCACCAAAUACCACUUGA
rnacentral:misc_RNA from 1 species